AGGCUCAGUAACACGUCGAUAAUCUGCCCUAAGAUUGAGGAUACCCACGGAAAACUGUGGUUAAUACUCGAUAGUGAAUGGAUUCUGGAAUGAGUCAUUCAUUAAACGUAAGGUCUUAGGAUGAGUCGGCGGCAGAUUAGGUAGUUGGCGGUGUAACGGACCACCAAGCCGAAGAUCUGUAGGGGCCCUGAGAGGGGUAGCCCCGAGAGGGACACUGAAAUACUGGUCCCAGCUCCACGGAGUGCAGCAGGCGCGUAACCUCCACAAUGCGCGAAAGCGUGAUGGGGGGAUCCCGAGUGCUUACAUUUAUGUAAGCUUUUGCCAAGAGUUCACAUCUUGGAGAAUAAGUGGUGGGUAAGACCGGUGCCAGCAGCCGCGGUAACCCCGGCGCCACGAGUGGCAAUCUUAUAUUGGGCUUAGAGCAUUCGUAGCAGGUUUAAAAAAUCCUUUGUGAAAUUGUUGAACUCAAUACAACAGCGUGCAGGGGACACUUUUAGACUAGAGACUGGGGGGAGUUGGGGGUAUUUCUAGGGGAGCGGUUAAAUGUGAUAAUCCUAGAAAGACCACCUGUGGCGAAGGCGCCCAACUAGAACAGUUCUGACUGUGAGGGAUGAAAGCUAGGGGAGCGAUCCGGAUUAGAUACCCGAGUAGUCCUAGCCGUAAACACUGUGAGCUAGGUGUCGCAUAUUCUACGAGAAUAUGCGGUGUCGAAAAGAAGUUGAUAAGCUCACCGCC
rnacentral:rRNA from 1 species